rnacentral:rRNA from 1 species
GACGAACGCUGGCGGCGUGCUUAACACAUGCAAGUCGAACGGAAAGGCCCUGUUCUUGUGGGGUGCUCGAGUGGCGAACGGGUGAGUAACACGUGAGUAACCUGUCCUUGACUUUGGGAUAACUUCAGGAAACUGGGGCUAAUACCGGAUAGGAGCUCCUGCAGCAUGGUGGGGGUUGGAAAGUUUCGGCGGUUGGGGCUGGACUCGCGGCUCAUCAGCUUGUUGGUGGGGUAGUGGCUUACCAAGGCUUUGACGGGUAGCCGGCCUGGGAGGGUGACCGGGCACAUUGGGACUGAGAUACGGCCCAGACUGCUACGGGAGGCAGCAGUGGGGAAUAUAGCACGAUGGGCGGAAGCCUGAUGCAGCAACGCCGCGUGGGGGAUGACGGUCUUCGGGGUGUAAACCGCUUUCGCCUGUGACGAAGCGUGAGUGACGGUAAUGGGUAAAAAAGCAACGGCUAACUACGUG